AGGACGAACGCUGGCGGCGUGCCUAACACAUGCAAGUCGAACGAGAUCCAUCCGGUAGCAAUACCGGUGAAGAUCGAGUGGCGAACGGGUGAGUAGCACGUGAGCAACCUGCCCCGAAGACCGGGACAACACCGGGAAACCGGUGCUAAUACCGGAUGCCCCCACCGGGCCACAUGACCUGGUGAGGAAAUGGAUUCCGCUUCGGGAGGGGCUCGCGGCCUAUCAGCUUGUUGGUGAGGUAAUGGCUCACCAAGGCUUCGACGGGUAGCUGGUCUGAGAGGACGAUCAGCCACACUGGGACUGAGACACGGCCCAGACUCCUACGGGAGGCAGCAGUGGGGAAUCUUGCACAAUGGGCGAAAGCCUGAUGCAGCAGCGCCGCGUGAGGGACGAAGGCUUUCUGAGUUGUAAACUCCUUUCAGCAGGGACGAUAGUGACGGUACCUGCAGAAGAGCACCGGCAACUACGUGCCAGCAGCCG
rnacentral:rRNA from 1 species